GGGGGAUAAAUUAAUAAGGUAAGAAAUUAAUAAAAAAAUUUUUAAAUAUAAAUAUGAUAAUGGGGGUUAAAGUAUUUAUAUAGAAAAAAUUAAUUAAUUUAUAGUGGAUUAGUAUUGUAAAAGAAUUUUGAAUUAUAUGUAAAAUAAAUUUAUUUUAAAGUAAUUUUAAAUUAGUGUAUCUUGUGUAUCAGAGUUUAUUAAUAAAAAUUUUUAGGGAAAAAAUUCUCGAAUUUAAAAGAGAUAAUUAAUUAAAAAAGUUAUUGUGGCAUAAAUAUUUUAAAUAAUUAAUUGGAAAUGAAAUGUUAAUCGUUUUUAAAUAUAUCUAGUUUUUUUAGAAAAAAAUUUAAUUUUAAAUUUAUUUAGGAAUAAUUUAAUUGAUUAAAUUAUUCCUAAAUAAAUUUUAUAUUUUAAGGGAUAAGCUUUAAAUUAAAUUUGUAUAAUAAAAUUUAAAAAAUUUUUGAAAAUUAUAUAAUUUAUAUUUUUAAAAAAUUUUAAUUUAUUAUAAAUAAUUUCAUUAAAAAUAAAAUUUAAAUAAUAAAAAUUUACAUUUUAAUAAAAAAAAAUUUUUGAAUAUUAUAAAAUUUAAUAUAAUGAUAAAAUUAGUAUAUAAAUAAAUUUUAAAUAAUUAAUUUUAUUAAAAUUAAAUAAAAGGAAUUCGGCAAAUUUUAUAUUCACUUGUUUAUCAAAAACAUGUCUUUUUGAAUUUAAUAUAAAGUCUAAUCUGCCCACUGAUUUAAUUAUUGAAGGGCUGCAGUAUUUUGACUGUACAAAGGUAGCAUAAUCAUUAGUCAUUUAAUUGAUGACUUGUAUGAAAGAUUGGAUGAAAUAUUUACUGUCUCUUUUUUAUAUAAGUAGAAUUUAAUUUUUUAAUUAAAAAGUUAAAAUAAAUUAAAAAGACGAGAAGACCCUAUAGAGUUUUAUAAUUAAAUUAAUUAAGAUUAUUAUUAAAUAUAAAAAUUAAAAUUAUUUUAAUUAUUUUAUUGGGGUGAUAGAAAAAUAAAAUUAACUUUUUUUUUUUUUAACAUAAAUAAAUGAUUAUUUUGAUCCAAUUUUAUUGAUUAUAAGAAAAAAUUACCUUAGGGAUAACAGCGUAAUUUUUUUUUUUAGUACAAAUAAAAAAAAGAGUUUGCGACCUCGAUGUUGGAUUAAGAUAAAAUUUAAAUGUAGAAGUUUAAAAUUUUUGAUCUGUUCGAUCAUUAAAAUCUUACAUGAUCUGAGUUCAAACCGGUGUGAGCCAGGUUGGUUUCUAUCUUUUAAUAAUUAGAAUAUUUUAGUACGAAAGGAUUAAAUAUUUAAAUUAAAUUUAUUAAAAAAGAAUAUUAUUAAUUUAUUUAUAAAUAAUUUAUUUAUUUAUUUAAUGUGAAAAUAG
rnacentral:rRNA from 1 species